GGAGGUUGGCUUAGAAGCAGCCAUCCUUUAAAGAAAGCGUAACAGCUCACUGGUCAAGCUGUCCGGCGCCGAAAACUUAUCGGGGCUAAGCAUUAUACCGAAGAUACGAACUGUAAUUGUCCUCGGACUUUUACUUUGGUAAAGGAGCAUUCUGUUCAGCACUGAAGCGAAAGGCGCGAGCCAUCGUGGAGCGUACAGAAGUGAGAAUGUUGGCAUAAGUAGCAUAAAUGGAGGUGAGAAUCCUCCACAUCGUAAACCCAAGGUUUCCAGGGCAACGCGAAUCGCCCCUGGGUUAGUCGGUCCUAAGGUGAGGCCGAAAGGCGUAAUCGAUGGACAGCAGGUUAAUAUUCCUGCACUUCUAUAGAUUUCCAAUGGAGAGACGCAUCCUUCAACUACUCGAGAUUCUCGGAAUGAAUCUUUGGGGGUCAAGGGGUGCCUGAUAGGCAAAUCCGUCAGGCAUUAGCCUCGUGAUCAUCGCAAGCUUAUCGAAAGAUAAGCAAGGGGUGGGACUGGGGUGCCAAGAAAAUCUUCUAGGGCUAAGUCUAUAGAAACCGUACCGCAAACCGACACAGGUGGGUGGGCAUGAGUGUGCUCAGAUGAACGAGAGAACCCGCGUUUAGGAACUCGGCAAUACAGCGACCGUAACUUAGGGAUAAGGUCUCCCCACCGCAAGGUGGGGCGCAGCUAAAGACGCAAACCGACUGUUUACCAAAAACACAGCUUCCUGCUAAAUCGCAAGAUGAAGUAUAGGAAGUGAUGCCUGGCCAGUGUCAGAACGUUAAAGGGAGAGGUCAUGAUCGCAAGAUCGGCAGCCUUGAGCUGAAGCGCUGAUGAACGCCGGCGAUAACUAUAAUCGUCCUAAGGUAGCGAAAUUCCUUGACGGGUGAGUUCCGUCCCGCACGAAUGGCAUAACGAGUUUGCGACUGUCUCAACGUGGGACUCGGCGAAAUUGCAAGUGGGGUGAAGAUGCCCUGUAUGCGCAGUCAGACGAAAAGACCCCGUGAAGCUUUACUACAAUUUGAUAUUGGGUAAUGGCUUGGCAUGUUCAGUGUAGGUGGGAGCGUAAGCACCAAUGAGACACCACCCUUGCCUCGACAUUAUUCUCAUCACGAACCAUGAAUCUGGUUUGUGAAACAGUAUCUGAUGGGUAGUUUAACUGGGGCGGUUGCCUCCCAAAAUGUAACGGAGGCGUUCACAAAGGUUAGCUAGGCGCGGAUGGAAAUCGCGCUGAUCCUGCAAUAGGACAAGCUAGCUUAACUGCAAGGCCAACAAGCCGAGCAGAUACGAAAGUAGGAUAUAGUGAUCCGACCGUACGAUAUCGGACGGCGGAAGCUCAACGGAUAAAAGCUACCCCGGGGAUAACAGGCUGAUCAGGUCCAAGAGUCCACAUCGACGACCUGGUUUGGCA
rnacentral:rRNA from 1 species